GACGAACGCUGGCGGCGUGCUUAACACAUGCAAGUCGAACGGUAAGGCCCUUCGGGGUACACGAGUGGCGAACGGGUGAGUAACACGUGGGUGAUCUGCCCUGCACUUCGGGAUAAGCCUGGGAAACUGGGUCUAAUACCGGAUAGGACCACUGCCUGCAUGGGUGGUGGUGGAAAGCUUUUGCGGUGUGGGAUGGGCCCGCGGCCUAUCAGCUUGUUGGUGGGGUGAUGGCCUACCAAGGCGACGACGGGUAGCCGGCCUGGGAGGGUGACCGGCCACACUGGGACUGAGAGACGGCCCAGACUCCGACGGGAGGCAGCAGUGGGGAAUAUUGCACAAUGGGCGCAAGCCUGAUGCAGCGACGACGCGUGAGGGAUGACGGCCUUCGGGUUGUAAACCUCUUUCAGCACCGACGAAGCGCAAGUGACGGUAGGUGCAGAAGAAGGACCGGCCAACUACGUGCCAGCCGCCGCCGUAA
rnacentral:rRNA from 1 species